GGAGAGGGAGCCUGAGAAACGGCUACCACAUCUAAGGAAGGCAGCAGGCGCGCAAAUUACCCAAUCCCGGCUCGGGGAGGUAGUGACAAAAAAUAACAAUGCGGGACUCUUAUGAGGCUUCGUAAUUGGAAUGAGUACAUUCUAAAUCCUUUAACGAGGAACUAUUGGAGGGCAAGUCUGGUGCCAGCAGCCGCGGUAAUUCCAGCUCCAAUAGCGUAUAUUAAAGUUGUUGCGUCUAAAAAGCUCGUAGUUUGAAAACUUGCCUUGGCUUACAACAGACGUCUAAGGGCGUCACCGUUUGUCGAGAGCAAAUAUGGGUGACUGUUCUUGCCUUCUUCACUGAUUGGCUCGUAAAAGUCAUCGAAGAUCACUUUGAUUAAAUUAGGGUGCUCAAAGCAAGUAUGCUACUUGAAUAUGAAUGCAUGGAAUGAUGGAAUAUGUUGUUGUUCUAUUUGUUGGUUUUUUGAAUGACGAAAUGAUUGAAAGGAACUGUUGGGGGCAUUCGUAUUGUUGUGAGAGAGGUGAAAUUCUUAGACCAUAGCAAGACGAACUACUGCGAAAGCAUUUGCCAAGAAUGUUUUCAUUGAUCAAGAACGAAAGUUAGAGGUUCGAAGGCGAUCAGAUACCGCCCUAGUUCUAACCAUAAACUAUGCCGACUAGCAAUUUGCUUUGUAUUUUUAUGACUAAGUGAGAGGCCACGGGAAACCAAAGUAGGGUUAUGGGGGAAGUAUGGUUGCAAAGCUGAAACUUAAAGGAAUUGACGGAAGGGCACCACCAGGAGUGGAGCCUGCGGCUUAAUUUGACACAACACGGGAAAGCUUACCUGGUCCUGACACUAGAAGGAUUGACAGAUUGAUAGCUCUUUCUUGAUUUGGUGGAUGGUGGUGCAUGGCCGUUCUUAGUUGGUGGAGUGAUUUGUCUGGUUAAUUCCGAUAACGAACGAGACUCUAGCCUAUUAAAUAAUAUGCGGAAUCAAUUUCUCCCGCGUUAUUUCUUAAUGGGAUCAAGCGUGUUUAACGCUUUGAAACAGAGCAAUAACAGGUCUGUGAUGCCCUUAGAUGUUCGGGGCUGCACGCGCGCUACAUUGAAGAACAAAGUGAGCCCUCUGGCUUUUAACAAAGCUAGAAAUCUUUUAAUGUUCUUCUUAAUGGGGAUAGGGGAUUGCAAUUGUGCCCCUUGAACGAGGAAUUCCCAGUAAGUGCUAGUCAUUAGCUAGUACUGAUUACGUCCCUGCCCUUUGUACACACCGCCCGUCGCUACUACCGAUUGAAUAGUUUAGUGAGAUCAUCUGAGUGUUUGUAUGUGCAUUCUGUGCUUGUAUGGUGUACAAAGAAGAUCAAACUUGAUUAUUUAGAGGAAGUAAAAGUCGUAACAAGGUU
rnacentral:rRNA from 1 species